UGGAAGUAAAAGUCGUAACAAGGUUUCCGUAGGUGAACCUGCGGAAGGAUCAUUACCGAGACCGGGUCCAAACGGCCCGACCUCCAACCCUCUGUGUACAUACCACGUUGCCUUGGCGGGCCCGCGGGUCCAGUGCCCGCGGCCGGCCCGCGCCGGUCAGCGCCCGCCAGAGGACCUCAAAACUCCGUUCAUCAGUGUCGUCCGAGAUAUGAACUUAAAUGAACUAAAACUUUCAACAACGGAUCUCUUGGUUCUGGCAUCGAUGAAGAACGCAGCGAAAUGCGAUAAGUAAUGUGAAUUGCAGAAUUCAGUGAAUCAUCGAAUCUUUGAACGCACAUUGCGCCCCUUGGCAUUCCGGGGGGCAUGCCUGUUCGAGCGUCAUUACACCACUCAAGCACCGCUUGGUAUUGGGCCCUCGUCCUCACCCGACGUGCCCCAAAGUCGUCGGCGGCGUCACCUGGCUUCGAGCGCAGUGAUCUUUCCAUCGCUCUGGAAGCCCCGGUGGCCGUUUGCCGAACAACCCCAAACGCACCAAGGUUGACCUCGGAUCAGGUAGGGAUACCCGCUGAACUUAAGCAUAUCAAUAGCGAGAAAGACG
rnacentral:rRNA from 1 species